AGUGAAUAGAUACCCGGGUAGUCCUAGCCGUAAACGAUACUCGCUAGGUGUCGGCCACGGUGCGACCGUUGUCGGUGCCGUAGGGAAAGCCGUGAAGCGAGCCACCUGGGAAGUACGGCCGCAAGGCUGAAACUUAAAGGAAUUGGCGGGGGAGCACCACAACGGGUGGAGCUUGCGGUUUAAUUGGAUUCAACGCCGGAAAUCUUACCGGGACCGACAGCGAUAUGAAGGCCAGGCUGAAGACUUUGCCGGAUUAGCUGAGAGGUGGUGCAUGGCCGUCGUCAGUUCGUACUGUGAAAGCAUCCUGUUAAGUCAGGCAACGAGCGAGACCCACGCCCACAGUUGCCAGCGUACUCUCCGGAGUGACGGGUACACUGUGGGGACCGCCGCUGCUAAAGCGGAGGAAGGAAUGGGCAACGGUAGGUCAGUAUGCCCCGAAUAUCCCGGGCUACACGCGAGCUACAAUGGUUGGUACAAUGGGUAUCUACCCCGAAAGGGGAUGGAAAUCUCCUAAAACCAAUCUUAGUUCGGAUUGA
rnacentral:rRNA from 1 species